AUUGAACGCGCUGGGGAGAGGUGAAAGCAAUGAGAUGCCCUCAUGGGAUUUUUGUCAUCUUUGUGAUGUUGAACUUCAGAUGCUGCGAAAUCCAUGCUGAACGUGACUGAAUAAACCCCCAUGUUGGUGAACUACAAUACGUGUCCUGGUCCUAUAAUACACAACGCAGAGAGACUGAGAAGCGCAACAGCAGUCAGCGAGCGGACCAGUUACACUCAGACCACUGCGUAAAUUGGCCAUUUCAUCUGCAACAAACCUGUAUAGAAAACAGAUGCAAGGAAUGCAAUGGAAUAUAGCCUGCAUUAGACUUCGAUAUCUGCAGUGUGAAAUGAUCUGUGAGAUUUAGUAUUUGAGGAAGUUACCAUUCAUCUGUCAUCUUAUCAUAGCACUCCACAUCACAGGUGGUGCUUAUUCCAGAGGGCUUAUUAACCCUCCGACAGCAAACAACCGACCAUUAACUACCUGGAUUUUGAGGAAGUUAAAAAGGAAAAUACAUAAUGUACAGCUUAAGUCUUUAAAUUUACAUUAAUAAAUCUCAUUAUAGAUGCAACGCUUCAUUUACAAGCGAUACUUCAAGGGAUACUCAUAGUAGGAAAAAAAUAGUAGUAGUAGUAGUAGUUCCAUAGUAGGAA